GCCCAGGAACUCUCACCAUGAUGGCUUUAAUAACAUGGUGGCACAUUGCCUGGUAACCUGAGGGUUGGUGGGGUUUGUUUCUACCUACUUUACCGAAAAGCCCUCUAUCAGCUGUUGGCCAACCACAUCAGGGUGGGCUGUCAAUACCAGCAAAUAUGCAGAAAGCUAUCGGAUCCAAACCUAUGCUGAAUAUAUGGGGAGAAAACAGGAAGAGAAGCAGAUCAAAAGAAAGUGGACUGAAGAUAGCUGGAAGGAGGCUGACAGCAAACGGUUAAACCCCCAGUGCAUACCCUACACCCUGCAGAAUCACUAUUACCGCAACAAUAGUUUUACAGCUCCCAGCACAGUAGGAAAGAGAAAUUUGAGUCCUAGUCAAGAGGAAGCUGGCCUGGAGGACGGAGUGUCAGGGGAGAUUUCCGACACUGAGCUUGAGCAGACCGAUUCCUGUGCAG
rnacentral:misc_RNA from 1 species